CUUUUUGGUCAUGUGCACUCUUGGUCUUCAAACACCACUGCUGUGAGAAGGAUACCUAAAAACGGAACUUCAGGCCAGAUCCUCAUCAGGCUCCCAUGAACCCCGCAAGGCCUCGCAGAACGAAUCGCUCGAUGCCAAGCCUCAUGUGAUUAGGCCAGCUACUGUGAGGUUAAUCCUUAGCAUUGCUCUUUCUAGAGUUUGGGUGGUUGAACAAGUCUCUUUUUGGACUUAAACAAGCACCAAGAGAGUAGUUUCUCAAACUGAGCAUCACUCUUCAAUCUUUUGGAUUUCAAGUGUGUCAAGUGAGCCAAUAUAUGCAUGAUCCCAGGCUGUCUCAUUAGAAGACAGUGAAACGCAUUUUUGAGAUAUCUUCAAGGGACAAAAGAAUAUGGAUUAGUCUUUCACAAGUGUCAAGAAUUUCGGGUAUACAGAUUCUCAGACUCAGACUAGGCUUCGGAUCUUGAGGAUCGAAGGUCUGUGUCUUGGUUUUGCAUUUUUCUUGGAACAAAUAUUCUUUCUUGGUCUUGUAGGAAGCAAACCACCAUUAGCAGAUCCUCAACGGAAGCUGAAUUCAUGAGCUUAGCAGAUUGUGAAAGUGAAAUUGUUUGGUUUAACAACAUGCUGGCAGAAUUAUUAAAAGUGGCUUUGGCAACUUCUCCUACAAUAUUUUGUGACAAUCUUAGAACCGUUCUACUGAUAACAAAUCCAGUCUUGCAUGCUAAAACCAAGCAUUGUCAAAUUUAUAUUCAAUUAAUCAGGGACAAAGUCAGGUAGCAAGCACUUCAAGUGGUAAAUAUCUCUGAGAAUGAGUAA